CCUACGGGGGGCAGCAGUAGGGAAUCUUGCGCAAUGGGCGAAAGCCUGACGCAGCAACGCCGCGUGGGGGAUGAAGGCUUUCGGGUUGUAAACCCCUUUCAGCAGGGACGCGGUACCUGCAGAAGAAGGACCGGCCAACUACGUGCCAGCAGCCGCGGUAAUACGUAGGGUCCGAGCGUUGUCCGGAUUUAUUGGGCGUAAGAGCUCGUAGGCGGCUCAGUUAGUCGGAUGUGAAAACUCGGGGCUCAACCCCGAGACGCCAUCCGAUACUGCUGGGCUUGAAUCUGGUAGGGGAGCACGGAAUUCCUGGUGUAGCGGUGAAAUGCGCAGAUAUCAGGAGGAACACCGGUGGCGAAGCGGUGCUCUGGGCAGAUUGACGCUGAGGAGCGAAAGCGUGGGUAGCAAACAGGAUUAGAUACCCUAGUAGUC
rnacentral:rRNA from 1 species